UUCGAAAUUAUAAAAAAAUUUCGAAAAAAAGAAAAAAAGAGAGAGAGAAUUUGAAAAAAAAUCGAAGUUUAAAAAAAUUCAAAAAAAAAAUUCAAAAAAAAUUCAAAAAAAAGUGACAAAAAAAAUCGAGCAACAAAAAAGUUGAAAGUUUGUUACUGUUUUCAUUUAUUCCUGCUCCGAUCAUCAAGUUUCCCUUCCUACCAUUAUUUACCCCUCCGAACGCCGCACUUUAAACCAAUUUUUCCUUUGUUCAGCCUACCCU
rnacentral:lncRNA from 1 species